rnacentral:pre_miRNA from 1 species
GAUUUCAACUGAAAAAGUCAUCAACAAUAAAGUUGUAUAACUCAUCAAUAUCUAUAACUUUUAUUUUAAAGUGAUAGAAACAUUGUUCACAAAAUUUACAUAUCUCUUAUAGUUUAUAAAACCAUAUAAGAGAUAUGUAAAUUUUGUAAAUAAUGUUACUAUCACUUUAUCAGAUGAACAAAUGACCAAAAUAAAAGUUAUAGAUAUUGAUAAGUUAUACAACUUUGUUGUUGAUAACUUUUUCAGUUGAAGUC